UUGCCUAAACCCAAAAUGGCGUCGUUUUAUUCAAAAUAUAAAUGCUAAAAAAAAAUCAGAAAAAAACAGUUUAACCCUUAUAUAAAAAAAAACAGAGAGCUCAAACACACACUCUCUCGCAGCCCCAAAUCUGGCCAAUAGUGCCAUCACCUACGCCGCCGUGACCCCACUGUAGGCAAUGGUCGGAAGCGACACGGAGGUCACCUUUUGGCCCGUUUCUCAAACGCCCGAAGGCUUAGGCUUCUGGGCCCUAAGACCGCAAGAAAAAGAAGCCUUCCUGGCCCCCCUCCGGUCCCGAAUUCAGCGACCAAGAUGGCUCCGGUGACGGAGAGAGGGACUCCGGCGAUGGACAGUGACGCCGAGGGGUUGAGUAGUGGAGUUGGUGCUGCAGGCGGCGGUAGCAGUGGUAGGCGUCAGAGGCGAUGGGACAAGGCCGGUGGCAGCAGGUCCUAGCAUGCGGCGGCCAGCAGGGCAGAGAACCCUAGGUGCGGCGCCCCUAGGGUUUGAAAAUUUUGUUUUUUUGUUUCUGAUUUGGGUUUCUGGGCUAGGGUUAGAUUUGGGCUUAUUGGGCUGGUUAAAUUUGGGCUGUACAAUGUUGAUAUAUAACUUAUAGAUGAUAUAAUUUUUUUUAUACAUAGUGAAACCAUAACUUGAAUAAAGAAUUAAUAGUAUUGUCUCAAA